CUCCUGAGCCAACUGUGAACCUCACCCAGGC
rnacentral:piRNA from 1 species